AAAAAAAGAAAAAAAAUGGUAAAAUGUUGGAGCCUAAAAAUUUGGAGAGAGUUUUAAGAGUUUACUUGCAAAAGGUAAUGUUCUAUAAGAGUCUUCUAAGGUUUUCAUCUUCAAAAUAGUUCCUCAAUAUUCAGACGUUGAAAUGAUUUGGAUGAUGUGGAUACUCAAGUAUCUAGGCCAGUUUUUGAUUGGUGUCUGAUUGAUGGGGUUGUUUAACUUUGGUACUAGUUCAAAAUUGUUCCAAAAUUAGUUUCCUUUGUGCAUUUCAGGGUUGACACAUUGCUGCGGCCUUUAUCUACCGGUGUUGAAUUCUGUUGUUCAAUUUAUUGUUACUGUUGUUACCUAAGCUCAUAAGCUUCCUUAUUUACUCCUGUAAUCAGGUACUCCUUGCUCUCUAGGAAAUGACAUGCAAACAUACAAGCUGUAAUUGCCUGAAAUCUGUUAUGAAAGGAUAAACUGUUCUUCCCUCAUAUGUUCAAUGUC
rnacentral:lncRNA from 1 species